UACGUAGGGUGCAAGCGUUGUCCGGAAUUAUUGGGCGUAAAGAGCUCGUAGGCGGUCUGUCGCGUCGGCUGUGAAAACUCGGGGGCUCAACCCCGAGCCUGCAGUCGAUACGGGCAGACUAGAGUGCUGUAGGGGAGACUGGAAUUCCUGGUGUAGCGGUGAAAUGCGCAGAUAUCAGGAGGAACGACCGGCUGGCGGAAGGCGGGUCU
rnacentral:rRNA from 1 species